rnacentral:lncRNA from 1 species
CUGGAAUUAUAUUGCUUACAGAAUAAAGAGAAGUCAGAGCCUCUUAUGUAACUUGAAGAGUAGGAAAGAUCCAGUGAUAAAAACCAGUGCCCUGAACUUUUGCAAAGCACGAUCAAUCGCUGCGUACGAUCCUCCGGUCCUUGGCAAGGUAUCCUUCGUCUGGUUUUUGUAGACUAGGAAAAAAAUUAAUGAACCCACCGCUAUUAGAUUGUGUAUUCAUGCCUAAAGGCUGUAAAAAGGGUACUGUUUCAAGUUAGUCCUGUCAUCUAAAAUACAUCCCCUGUUUGCUUAAGUUUUCUCAAUAAUAUUCUUUAAUUUGAUCGCUACCUGUGAAUUUGUGUAUUUCCUCACACAGAACUGAUUCUCCCUCCCCCCUUUGUGUUUCUCUCUUCCUCUCUCUUUUUUUUUUUUUUGCUUAUACUUUUUUGUUUAGAUUAUCUCUCUACUGACCUUUCAGUGGCUUACUUUUUUUUUUCUUUUUUUCUUUUUUUUGCAAUGCACGAGUGAGGCUGGAAAACAGAGCCAAGAUGCAAACUAUGAAUCAGCCGCUCAGCUUCACAUAGUGAGUGCACUAUGUGCUAUUUCUGGCCAGAGCAGAUGUGGCCUUGGUGGGCUGCAGGGAACAGUAUCUCUCAGGUAAAAAUAAAUUACGUAGAUAAGGACCAAAAUGAUGCAUAUCCUUCAUUCGCAGACAGAUCAUGAACUGGGAGCUGUGUGGAAAGACAACCGGAUUGGGAGCUAGUGUCCUGCCCUGGGUUUCUUCCAGGUGACCCUACCACCCGUCAGCCGUCUGGUCUUGGUGAGUACGUGUGACUGACAAAUACGUUUUUUUCAUGUUUGUUUACUCAUUUCGAGAGAGAGUGAGCAUCGGGAGAGGAGCAGAGAGAGAGGGAGACAGAGAACCCCAAGCAGGCUCCACACUGUCCAUGCAGAGCCUCAUGCAGGGGGCUCGAACCCACGAACCGCGAGAUCAUGACCCGAGCCAAAACCAAAAGUUGGACACUUAACUGACUGAGCCACCCAGACACCCCUACAAAUACAUUUCUUUUUAAAUCAACAAAAGCGGGGCGCCUGGGUGGCGCAGUCGGUUAAGCGUCCGACUUCAGCCAGGUCACGAUCUCGCGGUCCGGGAGUUCGAGCCCCGCGUCAGGCUCUGGGCUGACGGCUCGGAGCCUGGAGCCUGUUUCCGAUUCUGUGUCUCCCUCUCUCUCUGCCCCUCCCCCGUUCAUGCUCUGUCUCUCUCUGUCCCAAAAAUAAAUAAACGUUGAAAAAAAAAUUUAAAAAUAAAUCAACAAAAGCAUAGGACCAACACAGUAACAAACCUGUGUGCCACCAUUGAGUCCCGGGCUAUCCUGACGUUUUGACCAGCUCACUUCAGACCUGGCUGAGUACUAUGUGGCUCCCUCCUUGAUUCUCUUUGCCUUCCUCCUGCCCCCAAGAUAAAUGCUGCCUUAAACCUGCAAACUUGCCUACUUCUUCUGUAGACACCUACACUUUCAGCUGUGGCUGCUGCGUACAUUCUGCAUGUUUGAAAACUUUAAAUGAAAGGAAACACGCUGUAUAUAUUCUGCGACUCGUUUUUUUUUUUUUUAAUUUAGCAUUAGAUUUCAGCAACAUAGCUCUAGUCCAUUCAUUUUAACUGCUCUUUGCUAUAGUGUUUCGUGAACAGACCACCAUUCUCUUGUUGAGCAGUUAGAUUGCUUUGAAUUUUGCACUUUCAUGAUAAACGACGCUUCAGUGAGUGUCCUUACCCAUUUCCUACACUCACAUACAAUUUCUCUAAGAUAGCAUUUUUUCAAAAUAUUUUGGCUACACCCACAGUUAAGGACAUACUUUACAUGUAAACCCAGCACAUGCACAGGCUAUGUUUGUGUGUGUGCGCACAUAUAUGUGGAAUAAAAGUUCCUCAAAAUGAGACCCUUAUUUUGUAUUCAGGUAUAAUCCAGUUUAGGCUGGUCUAAAAAAAUAUCCUGGUUGCAAUUUACUAAAGUGAUCCUCUGACCCCCGUUUCCAGGAAGAAUUGGGUAAACCGUGUUCUGGGACCUGUACCUACACAUGGAAUUGCUGGAUCAUAGGUUAGACCCAUUUUCAAAGUGAGGAGUUGAUGCUUUUGUGAGUUCUUCUUAUGCACUGAAAUGGACGUUUGCAUAUAGCUAGCACUCUAGCUAAAGGAGGCUUUCUAGCAUUCUAGAAGGAGGCUUUUAGGGUUAUUUUAUAUGUCGUAUGUUUAGAAAUAGAAGUCCUGUUUUAAUUUCCUGAGCUUUAAUUUUUCAUAUGUCACAAGAUGCCAGAACAAAACAAAAAUACUGGACUUUUCAGUAUUUUGCAAACUGCUUUCUCUUCAGCCCCAGGGUCCUGGGGAAGAUUUCAGGGACUGCCAUAGGGUGUGCAAACUGGGGGUGGGCAUCAGAGCAGGGAAGGGGACGGAAUGAGUAGAUGGGCAGGGGAAGGUGUGCAGCUUGAAAAUAGAUAUUUUUAUUUUAAUUUUUUUUUCAACGUUUAUUUAUUUUUGGGACAGAGAGAGACAGAGCAUGAACGGGGGAGGGGCAGAGAGAGAGGGAGACACAGAAUCGGAAACAGGCUCCAGGCUCCGAGCCAUCAGCCCAGAGCCUGACGCGGGGCUCGAACUCCCGGACUGCGAGAUCGUGACCUGGCUGAAGUCGGACGCUUAACCGACUGUGCCACCCAGGCGCCCCUUGAAAAUAUUCUUAAGUGAUAGGUUUAGAUGCUCUCUACGGCUCUUUCCAGAUCUAAACUUGAAUCAAAAUAACUUUGGGAUCCCUGGACCAUUUAAACUUACAACCAGAACUAAAGAACAUGACGGUUUGGGGUAUACAGUUCUGGUAAGCAGUGCUGGCCCGCCCAAGAGCUGGACUGUCCCUCCUGUCACUCUAGGAGCUGGUGUGGACAGGGUGUGGUAGGUCCUGGAGGGCAGUGGCUUGGGACACUCCAGAUGGGGCUACCAUUUCUCUUCUGUCAUAGGGGCUUCACCCACAUGGGGCUGGUCUAAAAACAACUUCUGUUUUUAUCAUGCUUAUUGAUUCUGUGAUGACCAAGGGCCUAAGAUACAUUUUUCUGAGCUCCAUUUCUGCCACACCGAGUGUCGCACAUGCUCACAGUAAGGCUCAUGCACUCAGCGGGGUACACGUAUGGUUAAUCGUUAUAUUCGCAGAGAUGGAAUUUUAUUAUCAGUUUAAUGAAACUCUUGAGCUCCUCACAGGUUUAUUUUUGCCUUCCCGAUAAUAGUAAAGGCAUUAAAAAAAAAAGCCUGGUAGUAAGUUGGUAGUGAAGUGACUUCGGGGUGGGCAGAUGGUAAUUGAUGUAGACCCAUAGAUUCCUUCAUAGGCUUGCUCUCUGUCUCCUCUGCCUGCAUGACUGCCUCCUCUCAGAUCCCAGCCCCUCCCUGCAAUCCAUCCUGCCUGCAUUUCAUCUUCCUUAAUCACUGUUUUCAUCACCUCACACCCAUGCUGAGAAACUCUCCGGGGAUCUUCAUUCUCCACCACAUCCGAAUGCCAGCCUGUUUUCAAGGCUUCUCUUAAUCUAUUCUUUCCUUACCUCUCUGGCUUUAUUUCCUUUGCCAGAUGUGGUUCUGGGUCCUGUGGUUUAGAGAUAAUGGGAUUUUGGGGCACACAUCACCCCCCACCCCCAAAAUUUAAAAUCUGCAGCAUUUUUCUUCGGUACAGUUGAGCCUACUUCCCUAAACAAAAACACACAUCAGCAGGGAUUGCUUCCCUCGUGCUCAGGCCAGGGCAGUGGGGCUGGGGGGCCCUCAGGGGAGAGGGGGUGCAAGGAAGCAGGGUAUGCCCCUCUGCCUCGUACACUGGGAGAGGAUGAGCACUGAGAAAGGUGACUUGACUCACUAAAGUCGUUUGCGGAAAUCUCUGUCUGUUUGACAAGACAGAAUGCACACAACUUAGAAGGCAAAUAGGAGACAGAUAAAUUUGAAGACAGAGAAGUCUGGUUGAAAACCUUGGAGAAUGGCACACCCUGUAUAGGGCAAAAUUCAGCAGAUCACUGAGCCCCGGAGAAGACACCAGUGGGAGCUGGUGAAGGAGACUCCAGAGAAGGCUUACCUACUGGAGCAGGUUUAUCCCAUCUGCAAAUAAAUUCUUUUCAACUUUUUCUUUAGUGUGUGUGUGUGUGUGUGUGUGUGUGUGUGUGUGUGUGUUAACUGGCCAUUUCCAUUGUUUUCCAGAAUGAUUUCCAGAAGUCCUCAUUCUUCCACUUAGCAGCUAUAUAUUUUUGGGGCAAGUUUCUUUACCCAUAAAGUAGAAGUAAUAAUGCAAAUAGUUAUUUGGGGUUGUUGGGAGGGCUCAAGGAGAUAAAGUAUCUAAAGAGCACAGGGGCACCUGGGUGGCUCAGUCAGUUGAGCAUCAACUCUUGAUCACAGCUCAGGUCUUGAUCUCAGGGUUUUGAGUUCAACCCCACCUUGUGCUCCACACUAGGUGUGAAGCCUUCUUGGUAGGCAGGUAGGUAGAUAGAUAGCACAGAACAUGGUCCAAGAUAAAAUAUUAGCUAUUAUUCUUAUUGUUGUAAUUGUUACAAGUAUAUAUUUUGACUUGAGCAGCUGCUGAAAUUCUACUUGUUCUCAAGAUACCUUCAGGUCACUCUAGUUUAGUAAACAUUUACUGAGUGCUCAGUACAUGCUGGGGACUGAUAGGACACUGAUGAUACUACAAGUAAGAUGCUGACCUUGCCCUUGGGUAGCUUACCUUCUAGUAGGGAAGGCAAACCUGUAAGUGGAUGAUUUCGGUUUAAGGCUGGGCUGCCCUAUACACUCACCACCAGCUGCAUGCAGCUGCUGAAACUAAAUUGAGAUGUGCUCUACAUAUAAACUACAUACUGGAUUUUGAAGACUUGGUUUGAAAAGAGAAUGUAAAAUAUCUAAUUAAUAAUGGUUGGUAUAGGGGAGGCUGAGUAGCUCAGUCUUACUUACUUGUUAGUAUAGUCUUGAUUACCUGUUGAAAUAACAUUUGGGGUAUGGUGGGUUAAAUACGUGGUUAAUUUUUUUUAUUGAAGCCCAGCUGACACACGAUGUUACAUGGGUUUCAGGUGCACAAUGUAGUGCUUCAACAAGUCUAUGCAUUAUGCCGUGCUCACCACAAGUAUGGCUACUCGGUCACCAUGUGAUGCUAUCACAAUACCACUGACUACAUUUCCUGCGCUGUACCUUUUAUCCCUGUGACAUAUGCAUUCCAUAACUAGAAGCCUGUGCCUACCACCCCUUUACCCAUUUAUCGGUCUAUUUCUGCUGUUUAUUCCCUUUUUGUUGAUUCCAUAUAUAACUGAAAUCAUAUGGUAUUCGUCUUUCUCUGACUUAUUUCACCUAACAUAUGCUCUCUAGGACCAUCUAUGUUGUAUAUUUAGGACCAUAUGUUGCUAUAUGUAUAUAUAUUCAUACAUAUAUACAUAUAUAUACACACAUUUAUAUACAUACACACACACAUACUACAUGUUAUUUGUCCAUUAAUCUAUCAGUGGACACCUAGGUUGCUUAUACAUCUUAGCUAUUGUAAAUAAUGCUGUAAUAAACAUAGGGAUGCAUAUAUCUUUACACAUCAGUGUUUUCUUUUACUUAGGGUAAACACCCAGUAGUGGAAUUACUGGAUAUAUAGGGUUUUUAUUUUUAAUUUUUUGUGGAACCUCCAUACCGGUUUCCACAGUGGCUGCAUCAGUUUACAUUCCCACCAACAGUGCACAAGGGUUCCUUUUUCUCCAUAUUCUCACCAACACUUGCUAUUUCUUGCCUUUUUGAUUCUAGCCAUUCUGUUAGGUAUAAGGUGAUACCUUUUUGUGGUUUUGAUUUGCAUCUCCCCGAUGAUAAGUGAUGUUGAGCAACUCUUCGUGUGUCUGUUGGCCAUCUGUAGGUCUUCUGUGGGAACAUGUCUCUUCACAUCCUCUGCCCUUUUUUAAAUCAGAUUAUUUGAGGUCUUUUGGUGUUGAGUAGCAUGAGUUCUUUGUAUAUUUUGGAUAUUAACCCUUCUUGGAUAUGUCAUUUGCAAAUGUUUUCUCCCAUUCAGUGGUUUGCCUUUCUGUUUUGUUGACGGUUUUCCUUGUUGUGCAAAAGCUUUUUAUUUUGGUGUAUUCCCAAUAGUUUGUUUUUGUUUUUGUUUCCCUUGCCUGAGGAGACAGAUCUAGAAAAAUGUUGCCAAGGCCAAUCUCAAAGAUAUGAUUGCCUUUUUUCUUUUAAGAGUUUUAUGGUCUCAAGUCUCCCAUUUAGGUCGUUAAUCCAUUUUGAGUUAUUUUUGUAUGGCGUAAGCAGUCCAGCAAGUAGCUGUCCAGUUUUCCAAACACCAUUUAUCAAAGAGACUCUCUUUCCCUCCUUGUAUGUUCUUGCCUCCUUUGUUGUAGAUUAAGUGACCACACAACUGUGGGUUUAUUUCUGGACUCUCUAUUUUGUUACAUUCAUCUAUGUGUCUGUACUUGUGCCAGUACCAUACUGUUUUGAUUACUAGAGCUUUGUAUUAUAUCUUGAAAUCUGGGAACGUGGUACCUCUAGGUUUAUUCUUCUUUCUCAAGAUUGCCUCAGCUAUUUGGGGUCUUUUGUGGCUUCAGACAAAUCUUAGUAUUAUUUUUUCUGUGAAAAAUGAGGUUGGUAUUUUGAUAGGGAUUACACUGAACCUGUAGAUUACUUUGGGCAUUAUGGAUAUUUUAAUAAUAUUGGUUCUCCCAAUCCAGGAGCGUAUUUGUGUCAUUUCCACUUACUUGUGUCAUCUUCAGUUUGUUUUAUCAACCUUUAUAAUUUUCAGAGUACAGGUCUUUCAGCUCCUUGGUUAAAUUUAUUCCUAGGUGUUCUAUUCUUUGUGGUGCGAUUGUAAAUGGAAUUGUUUUCUUAAUUUUGCUCUCUGUUAUUUCCUGUAUAGAAAUGCAACUGAGGCACCUGGGUGGCUCAGUCGGUUAGGCGAAUGACUUCGGCUCAGGUCAUGACCUUGUGGUUUGUGGGUUCAGGCCCUGUGUCGGGCUCUGUGCUGACAGCUCAGAGCCUGGAGCCUACUUUGGCUUCUGUGUCUCCCUCUCUCUGUCUCUGUCUCUCUCUCUCCCUCAAAAAUAAACAAACAUUAAACAUAAAAUAAAAAAGAAAACAAAUGCAGUUGAUUUCCAGGUAUUAUUUUGCCUCCUGCAACUUUACAGAAUUCCUUUUCUCUAAAUGUUUGUUUGAGAGUGAGCGAGAAAGCGAGCCUGUGUGCAAGCAGAGGAGAGAUGGGAAUAGAGAGAAUCUCAAGCAGGCUCUGUGCUGACAGUCCCCAGAAUUCUUGUAAGUUUUUUAGUGGUGUCUCUAGGGUUUUCUAUGUAAAGCAUCAUAUCAUCUACAAAUAGUGACAGUUAAACUUCUUUAUUAUUAUUAUUAUAUUAUUAUUAUUAUUAUUGGCUCCUGGGUGGCUCAUUCAGUUAAGCAGCCAACUCUCAAUUUCUGCUCAGGUCGUCAUCUCGUGGUUCAUGAGUUUGAGCCCUGUGUCAGGACUAGGAUUCUCUGUCACCCUCUCUCUGCCCCUCCCCUACUCACGUGCAUGUGCUCUCUCUCAAAAAAAAAAUUUUUUUUUAAUUUAAAAACUGUAGUACUAGAAAACUUAAAUUUAUGCAGCCCCUGUUGUGCUUCUGUUGGAUGGCAAUGGUCUACGGUGAUAGAGGGUGCUGUGGGAACCAACUCAGAAGGGCAGCAUGUCAGGGGGUAAAGGAGUGCUUCCUGGAGGACCAGAUGCGUCCUGAGCUGAGUCUUAAAGGAUGAGCAGAGGUUACCCAGGAAGGACACAGCUUGAGGAUAUUCUGGAUUGAGGUGACAGGAAGGCCCAAGGAAAGUGUGCCAUUGGGGAGGAGCCCUGGGAACAGUUGGUUGUUACACAGCCUAAAGUGUUAGGAGCUGGGGACUGGAAGAUGAUGAAGCUGCCUGAGAAGUGAGGCCUGUCUUCCUACCAUUUAACAUCUAGUCGUCAUUAAAUGCCCUGGUUCUUGUCUUACACCUGAGGUCUGUGUAUCCACUCUUUGUUUGAAGUUUUGUGGACUAUUGGCUGUUGAAAGUUUGAGGUUUCUGUCUCUACAAGAAUAAGACGAUCCUGGAAGAUAAAACUAAGGCAUGCACGUACGCUACUCGGAAGGCAGAAUGUUAUUUUCCCUUCUGUACACAGUCCUGGAGUGGAUAGCAGGCUCACAUUUCUGCUUCAAGUGUAGACCUAAUGAAUGAGAAACCUAGAGGAAGGUGAGAGCUUUUGGUAUGCUCUCAUUCAUUGGGUCCAAGGAGAGUAUACAUGACUGCAUUCACACCCAUCUCUAUGUCAGUGACCUUCAGUGGACUACCUCCCACCCCCAAAUUCCCACCAAUAAGGAAUAUAAUUGGUCUUGGAACAACACAGCUUUGAACUGCACUGGUCCACUUACAUGCAGAUUUCUUUACAGUACCGUACUGUAAAUGUAUUUGCUCUUAAGAUUUUCUUAACACUUUCUCUAGCUUACUUUAAGAAUACAGUAUAUAAUACAUACAUGAAAUAUGUGGUAAUUGACUAUUUAGGUUAUCUGUAAGGCUUCAGUCAACAGGCUAUUAGACACAUCUCGGGGGGAGUGAGAAGUUAUACAUGGCUUUUUGACAUGGAGAGUUGUUGCUCUUGACCCCUGCCAUUAUUCAAGGGUCAACUGUAUAAUCAUUUAUCAGAUUACACUAAUUUGGAAGCUCAUUAUAUCCACUCUAUCCCAAAUCACCCUCAGGUCUUCUGCCUUUAAUAACUAAUUAUUAAAUGGACAUUUAGUAGGUCAUGCAGGGUGAAAGAGGAGUACCAAAGGAGGCUGAAAACCUAAGUGGAUGGAGAAGCUGGAGAGUGACAAGUCAUCUUCAACAUCUGCUUCUCACUCUUUAACGUGCACGUGAAUCAAACAGAUCCUGCGAAGAUACUGGUUCUAAUUCAUUAGGUUUAGGGGUGGAAGCAACAAUAUGCAUUUUUUUUGAGCUUCCGGGUCAUGUCAGUGCUACCGGUCCAUGGACCUCACUUUGAGUUACAAAGUCUUCAGCGUCAGUUUAGUACAAAUCUUUACCCACGGCUGGAAACUGCAUUGCAACAGCCCUGAUGAGUCAUUAGAAGCCUCUGAGGGAAGACCUAUCACGUGAUUCACCUCCUCCUCCUUUGUGGAGUAAGUCUAAUUGUUGGAACAGUUUUUCUUGUCCCUAGACGCUAUCUGGGAAAUUUCUAUGCAUUGGUCCUUGUUCUAUUUCUGGAACCACAGAGAUAAUGAACCUGAUCUCUCUUUCUCAUGACAGCCAUUUGGAAAUUUGAAGAGUAUUUUUAUAUUUCCCUUAAUUCUUUUCAGUACAUUAAAUCUCAUCUCCUUUCGCUGUUAAUCAUAGGACCCUCUGGGCUGUCCUGGGAAUCUGUUCUUUAAGUGUACCUCUUGUAAUUGAGCACAGCAGUCUUGCUUUGUCUAAACAUCAGAGAGUAAGAUGGGCCUAUUACCUACUUGGCUGUUGAUUUUCUGCUUCUGCUAGAGUCCUCCAUCAUCUUGGCCUGUUGACUACUCUUUGGGUGUCACUGCUUGUAAGCCCCUCUUAGUGAACAGAGCUAGAGAAUAUAUGUAUGCUUAUGUGUACGUGUAUGUCUAUGUAUUUUCUCAUUUGUCCAUCCAUCCUUCUGUCCAUCCAUCCAUCGAAAACUCUGAGUUCAGCAUGAUAGAUUUACUCCAAUCCAGUUGCAUAGGUAGAUUGUAGUUUUUUCCCUUUCCAUGUUUAUAACUCCCUUCCCUGGAAGUAAAAUAAAAAAAACCUACCUUCUCAUAUCCUUAAGACAGUUACCUGUGUGAUCAAACCCUUGGGUAAAACCAAUCGUCUAUCCAUCACUGUUGUCCUUCCCUAUGCACAUUUGCCUCACACCACUCACUUCCCAACACACUCCCACUUCUUCUGGGACUCAGCUAAUAGUUUUUGGGCUGAACUAUUUGGGAAGGCAAGGGGAAGAGGAGGAGGAGGAGGAGGAGGAGUUUUUUUUUCUCUUUUGACUUGUAAAUGAGUGAAUUAUACUAAUAGGUUUUUCUAAUAUUGACUCAUCCUUGGACUCAUGCGUUGUGCCCUGCUUUGAUUUUUCUACUCUUUCAUUUAAGAUUUCUUGGUAAGUUAAUUUAUUUUGCUGAUCUGAAAAGGCUUUGUCAUGCAAGAAAUGUUCUUAGACAUUCCCUUAAUUUCAUUCUCUUUGAUUUCUACAGGGGGAAUAUAAAGAUUUCUCCUGACUUGUGUGAAUUUUUCCAGGGUCCUUUCUUUUGGAAAUGCUACAAGAUGGCUGUGUUUUCAGUGGUGGAAAUUAUCAAUAGGUCUCAAAAGCAAGGAAUCACAGAAUAUCUGCUUUCCAGUAGUGAUGUAUGACUCACCAAAGCCACAACAUUUUUUAUAAUACCCUUAGUUUUUUUCAUAGAAACAGAACUGAGAUUCCUAAUACUUCCUGGAAUUUUUAAAAAAAGGAAGGAAAAAAAGAAUUCAAGGAGAUGUCCAUUGGUUAGCCCAUCACUGGCACGCAUUGGCAUUAAAGAGUAAUUGGUGAGUAAACCAGUACCAAUACCACUAUCCUUCAUGUCCAGCCUGCCCCCAAAGAUUUUCUUGGAACCAACAAGAAGGUUAAUUGAAAAUAUAAAUCUGCUUUGGAAAGCAUUUGCAUUUUAAGCGGAGAUGGAAUUUGGGGAAGUGCCAUGUAGACGUCUGUCAUUCUACAAGUCAUAAUUAUUGUCAGUGACCCGAGACCUGGAGCAGAUCAUGAUGGUUAAAUAAUGUCCAUGGUGUUGCUCUUGGGGAAAGCCUUUGUCCCCACCUGAUCAUUCCCACAUUGCCUUGGGUCUUUUAUGCCUCAAGUGCAUAUGUUGCUUCUGUUUAUCUGAGUAGUUAAUUUUGGAGGCAACCAUUUUGCAGAUCUGAUUUCCUUCCUCUGACAGACAAGGCCUGGAUUGCUCUCGCUUUUAUAUUUCAUUAUUCACACAUUCUUCCCCAUCUCUCACCAAUCCUCCCACCAUUUCUGUUUAAAGAAGAUCUUUAAUAUAUAUGUAGACCCAUCCCAAAAGGUCUACAUGCUACACGUGCACAUGCACAUAUACCCACAGUGCAUGUGUACUUCUGUAUAUGUUCUUUUUAAUUUUUUUUUCUUGACUAGAUCACUCCUAAAAAAAAAAACAUUGGAGUAUGACAAAAGCUGGUAAAAGAGAUGAAAAGGAUGAUACUUUUUGGUUAGGGAGUUUGAAAUAAUUUUUGCCGUGACAAGUUGACUAUUGGGGCACUGUGCGUCCCUGUGAAUUGCACGCUUCAGCUACGUCCCUGGCUCUGUUGACCCACAGAGAGAGUAAUCCAAUUAUCCAAAUAGGGAAAUGCCUGAAAACAAUGAAUAAUCAGAAGUUGCAUUUUAGAAGCAUGCUCAUUCAUAAAACUGGUAGGUCAUGUUCAUUUUAGAAGUGCAUCAGCAGGAAUAUUGUCUGAGCCUGCACUUAGAACAUUCAUUCAGUCAGCAAACACAUACUGAGAGCCUUCCAUGUGCUGGACACUGUCCUAGGUGCUGGAGAUGUAUUAAUUAGCAGAGAGAAACAUGGUCCCUGAUGGUAAAAAAAAUUUUUUUAACGUUUUAUUUAUUUUUGAGACAGGGAGAGACAGAGCAUGAACGGGGGAGGGUCAGAGAGAGAGGGAGACACAGAAUCUGAAACAGGCUCCAGGCUCUGAGCAGUAAGCACAGAGCCCGACGCGGGGCUCGAACCCACAGACAGUGAGAUCGUGACCUGAGCCGAAGUCGGACGCUUAACCGACUGAGCCACCCAGGCGCCCCCCUGAUGGUAAAUUUAACAACUGGUUUUUUUGAACCAAAAGCUCUGAUGUUUCAUAUUUUGCAAUGCCUGUGCUCUAAUUACUCCCACCAUAGCCAAUUUCAAGCUCCCCAAGUUCUGCAGUGCCUGGCACAUAGAAACUGGCCACCAUCAUCAUGUUCCUAUCUUGAUCAUCAUUAGGCUUGCUUUGACAGCAUAAUAAAAAGAAGCUCAUGACCUACAGGGGAAGAGUCUAAGAUGUGCUCAGGGGAGAGUGUGGAGAAGGGUCUGAAAGAUGAGGGACAUUCCUUUUUAUUUUUUACUUAAAAUCUGUAAGAUGUGCAUUUUUAGAAGUAUGUAUUUUAUAACCUUUAAAGAAAGAAUUUACAGUGCCCAAGUGACCAAGCAUGGCUUUCACAUGAUUCUGGCCAGAUGUGACCACAUCGUGGAUAUAAGACCGUUAUUCCAAGUCCCAUAUCACAAUAUGUGAAUCCCUGAUAAAUGACUGUUGUCUUCCUGGUGAGAAGUGACUUAAACUAUUCACAGAAGAUAAGCAUUCAAUUUGCUGCAGAACAAGUCACCCCGAAUCAGUCGCUUAAGCUAAUGAUGAUAUUUAUUUUGCUCACAGGUUUGCAAUUUUGGUGGGGCAUGGUGGGCACAUUGUGUCUCUUCUCUUUGGCAUCAGGUGGGGUGACUGGAAGGCUCCGAGUAGAAUUCUCUGAAGGGGCAUGCCUGUGUUGGCAGGGGAUGCUGGCUGUUGGCUGGGACUGAAGUUCAAUGGGGGUCAUUUGUCUCUCCAAGGUAAGUGUCCCAAAACAGAGCCAGGUGGAAGCUAUAUCAGCUUCUAUGACCUAACCUUAGAAACCCUACACCAUCACUUCUCCAUAUUCUUGUCCGCGGUGGAGGUGGGGGUGGGUCACAAAGCAUCACCCAGGUCCAAGGAGAGGAAAAUUAGAUUGUACUUCUCUCUCUACGCAGGUUCUGCAGGAAGGUGUGGGACUGGAAUAUUAAUGUGGCCAUUUUUGGAAAAAGACAAACUGCUCCAAGAAAUUCUCACCUUUUCCAUGUCAUCUGUACCAGCUGUAGCUGCAGAGAAAAUGUGAAAAGUGAGCCAGAUUCUCUCAGCUGCCCAGCUGCACGUGAGCAUUGCAACUUCUUCACGCCAAAAAUAAGGCACAGUGUAAGCUGUCAGUGCUUAGCUGGGAAACCCAACAAAUUUUCAUGUUGUAUUUCCCAUGCCUAGCAGAGCCAUGAGUUUUAAAUUCCCUGUGAACUGUCAAAUAUAGCUUAAGCAAAAAAAAAACAAAAACAAAAAAAAAAAACAGAUGAACUCAUGACCGGGAUGGUGGAAGUCUACCUUUGCUUGGUUGGGCUCUGUAUUUUAAUUGUUGUCUCUAAGCUUUCUCAAAGAGCACAGCUAGGAGAUUCUUCAGUGCAUAUAGGUGUCCUUAUGCUUGCCAGCCACACGAUGGAUAAGGCUGUGUUGAACUUCAUGUAGUGCUUGAGGGUCCAAUGCAUUCUUCGUAUUAUCUACUUACUAGGGUUGGAGUUGGUUCAUUCAUUUGUAUCCUCAGUGUCCCUUGGUUCCCCACUGGGGCAUACAUAAAUAGAACAUAUUAACAGGAGACUAACAGGUAAUUACCAGAUAUGUAUGGAUUGCCCAUAGAGUAGCACUUAGAGAAUUGUCAGAAAACAUCCAGUUAAUGCAGUCUGCUCAAUUGGAAUCUUAAUUUAUGGUAUGAAUUGGUAGCCCCAAACCAGCGGUGUAUUAGACCUUCAGGGAUUCUAAUUUUUAAAGACACUAUUAUUAUAAUUUUAUACUUCUGAACCAAUCCAAGUUCUUUCCUAAUAUAAGAAGAUGAGGUCGUUGUGUAACAGAGGUCUCAAAAACUAAGCUGUUUUGGCAAUUCACAUUUAAAACAAAAUGGUUCAUGGCUGGAUAAAUCAAAUGGAAUUUUAACAAAGUUUUGUCCCCAAUCUUUUCUUGUUUAAGCUGAAGACAACCAUGAGGUAUUUCAGCUAAGACAAGUCAGUUGCUUUGCAGAAAUUUGUUGACAUUUUUAGCAGUCCCUUUUCUCCUGUAACUACAAUGCCAAAUGAGCAAAAUGAGUGUACUGACAGCCAAUACUGUCUCUGCUUCAAUGGAAUUCAAAUAUUGUGUGUCCAGAUAUUUCUGUUCCUUGACAUAUACUUGUGAGGAACAUUGUUAAUAUCCCCAGCUCAGACAGUUAAUUAUAAAAAUGAUCAGUGAAGAUAGCCUGGUGGUUCUUCAGUUCGCCUAGGGGGAGCUUGGGGCUCACUCCCCAAAGAUGCUGUUUCACAGGCCCAUAUGAAUCUUGAAAAUUCCCCUUAUGAUUCUGGGUACCAGCCCAGCCUGGGACCGAUUGAACUAGAAUAUUUGCUAACUCCUAAAAUAAUUUUUGUGAAGAGGGUUUUGCCUUGAUAGAAGUUACUGUGGCUCAGGACAAAAUAGUAUUAUGAUUCAAUUUCUAUCCUUGGUAAACAUUUUAGAGUAGGAACUCAGGUUUCCACUAAACUUUUAUAUAUUGACUCACUUUAUAGUAGAGGCUAUAGCUUUGAGAAAGAAAUGGGGGAAAAGAAUUCCAGUUCACAAAUCAUUGUUUCCCUCUUUAGCUUUGUGUUUGGGCUGAAAUAUUUCUUUUAUAUAUAAAUGUUCUAUAUGAUGAUGGUUGUCAUUAUUGGCUACAAGUUUUUGUGUGUGUGUGUGUUUUUUUUUUUUUUUUUUACAUUCUUCAGGCCCUUUCAGCUGGAGUUCCUAAAAUAAACAAUUAUAAACUAUUGUUUUUGGUUAGAAGUCACCAAUGGGGCAUGCCUCACAAAAAUGGCAAUUGUUGUGUAGAGCCACAAAGAAUAAAUAAGAUUUCCACAGUAGAAGAGUAGAUAAAAGAUAAUUCCAGGUAGAGGGAAUGGAAUAAACAAAGGCACAAAUGCUUGAACUUGUUUGGCACACUCAAGCAGAGGUGAUUAGCUCAGUGCAGCCAGGGUACAAUAGCUAUGGGAGAUACCCAUGGCUGGAAAUAUUCAGCCCUAAGUGAUGGAAGCAAAGAAUUCUAAAGUUCUGUUCCUAAUUGUCCGGAGUGGCCUUUUGAAGAAAUGUGUUUAGAUAGAUUCUGAGGAUGCAUCUGGCUCUGGGAUUAAUGAGGGCUCACAAGAAGGGUCAACAGAGUAUCAGGGCCCCAUAAUUUCUCUUUCAUACCUUCUCUUAAUUAGGCAUAUAAAUAUGCUCAGUGUCUUUUUCCUGCUCAUGAUUCUCGUUGUGAUAUCUUGGAAUAUGUUUUGAUAUCCUUGAGGGAGUCGUGAAAUGUUGACUCUGUGGACAAGGGGCUUUUGCUUUUGGUUGUCAUUUUAACCCUAUCGGUGGGUACUCUGGCAGGACUGUCCUGGAACAUAAUUAAGUGGUGAGAACCGUAUGAAAUACACCCUAAUGUUCACAUCUGAAUUUCUGAAUCAGUGAUCCAGUCAAAGGGAUGACUGAGUAUUAAUCUGAUUGGCUGCAUGUAUAUAUUUUCAUUUAAAAGCUGAUGGGGCACAGCCCUAAUUUUUUUUUCCCAGAAGAUGAAUAGCUAAAGUAGACAUUAGAUCCUACUUCAGUGUUUACCAGAAAAGUUCACACUAUCAAAGCACUUGCAUGAUGUGAAUUUUUUUUUGCAUUUUUUUUUUUAAUGUUUAUUUACUUUGGAGAGAGUGAGCUGGGGACAGAGAGAGGGAGACACAGGAUCCGAAGGAGGUUCAAGGGUCUGCACCCGCAGCACAGAGCCCGACGCAGGGCUUGAACUCACCAACAGUGAGAUCAUGACCUGAGCUGAAGUUG